rnacentral:lncRNA from 10 species
CCUCAUUCUCUAGACUCAGCAAGGCCUGAAGGGAUUGUCUCAGGCUCCUCCACUCCAGCCUUCUAAGGGCCCAAAGUGGUUCAGAGGGGACGCUCUCAGCGUUCCUUCUCUUCCAACAGCUGUGACAACCUCUGACUCAUGCCUGGGACAAUUUCUCUCAGUUCUGGUGUACCUCCAGUCCUCUGUGUGAGCACUUGAUGAAGAACCCUGAGAAAGAGUGGACAGCUGAUGAACAUCUGGGUUGUCUUCCCUGUUGGCAAUUGUGAAUAGUGAUAUGAACAUUUGUGCAAGUUUUGUUUAAACACCUAUUUUCCCUUAUUUUGGAUAUAUACCUAAGUGGAACUGCAGUGUCAUAUGGUAAGUCCGUUUAAUUCAUUAAAGAACUACUAAUUUGUUUCCAAAGUGGCCAAUUCAUUUUAAAUUCCCACAACGUAUGAGAGCUUCAUUUUCUUCACAUCU